GCCAGUUCUGGAUUCUCCUCACGGUCCUAACUCACUCUUAAUGCGUAGGUCCGGAGUUCGAAUCUCCGAGGCGGCUCCA
rnacentral:tRNA from 1 species